rnacentral:lncRNA from 1 species
AGAUUUUGGCAGGGAGAAGCAGAGGGCUAAGGAGCUCUAGAAAGAUGAGUUUCCAAGUAUAAGCAAACUGAGGAAGCUGGAAAUGAGGAAAAUGGGGUGGUCAGCAUGGCUGAAGCUUGGGAAAUGCGGAGCGGAGUGGUGGCAAGUAAGCCACUGACAAAUUGCCGAGUUUCUUCAGAAGUAACGAGUGGGGCUUUUCUCUGUAGUAGCUGGGAACCAAAGAAAAUGUGUGCGUGGAGGCAGAGGCAGUCAGGGAUCUGAUCGGAAAGUUCAGUGUGCUGUCAGGGACGCCCAACACGAUGCCCUCCGUGUCUUCAUCUCUCCCUCUCCACCUCCUCAGUCCCUUUCCCUGGACUUCAUGGGAGCCUGUUGAGCUCAAAAGAUCCCCAAGAGCCAAGAUGCAAGCCUGCAGAUUUCAGGACAGCUGGUCCUGGCGCUGCUGGCUGCUCGCAAGGGCCGGGCCUCCUCAUUGCCGUCACCAGCCCCCGUUGGGCCUCAUCAGAGCAAGACCAGGCUCGGCUGAUGCUCGGCGCUGUAUUCCUUGACGCCUCCAUGAGGCUUGCUGCCCAGCAUGUCCCAGGCUUGCUGGAAAUGCUGAAGCUCAGGCUCACCUCAGACCCACGACUCAGAGUCUGUAUCUUUUCCAGAUCCUGGAGUGAUCGCAUGUGCACGUAUAAAUCGGAGAAGCUUUGGCUUCCAUAGCCUCUGCUGGCUGUAACUAAUCCUUCCUCACCCCAUACUGAGGGAAAAGAAAGAAGGGAAGGGAGGGAAAGGAAGGGAAGAGAAAGGAGAAGGAAGGACAGGGGGAGAGAGAGAGAGAGAAAGGGAAGGAAGGAAGGCAGGAAAGGAAAGAAGGAAGGAAGGAAGGGAGGAAGGGAGGGAAGGAGAAAGAGAAAGGAAGGAAGAACAGGAGGUUAGGAGAGAGGAAUGAAAGAAAGAGAAUGGGAGAGGGACAGAGGGAGGGAGAGAGAAUGAUUCUGUGAGUCUCUUAACUCUGGUCCUCCUGUUACACAUCUUUUCUUCUACUUUUCCUUUGUUUCACACUUAAGCUUUGAAGAUGUAAAGUAGGACCAGAGGGUGAGAAAUUCAAGAACCUUGAAAUAAAAGACCUUUCUGUUUGCUUUUCAUUUCCUAAAAAGGAAGUCCUCACUGACUGUUCCUGUAAGGGAUAUUAAGCUGUGUGGAUUGUGAGUGAUUCGUCACACAGCAAUUUGGAGCAGGAAGCACACGAAACCCUAGAGCUAGCCUGCACGCAACUAAUUGAAGCCCUCAAUUAAUCGGAUUGGCUUCCACCUUCAGGAGAAAAGCAAAUACUAAGAAAACAAAUUAGCACCUGGAAUUUAACAACUUCCCUUUUUUGGUGUGGGGGCGCAUUAUAUUCAGAGUACAUGAUAACUGAUGGCUCGUCUCAUAGGCACAGACAUCUUUACAAUCCUCUAAGGCAGAGUGGUGUGGUGGAAACGGAGUUGGCAGAGGCAUCAGAUCUGCCCGGGUUUCCAUCCCAGCUCCAGCAUGCAUGGGCCAUGUCGCUUGGCAAGCAGUCUCACCACUCAGAGCCUUGAUUUCAGGAUUAAAAAAAUAAUAACCUAUUCAACAGAAUCAUGGUCGAGAAGAUUAGGGGUUUGUGCAACUCCUCACCUGGUGGAUACUCAACCGGAAUGAGUUCUCUUUCUCAGUUCCUGCCUACAGAUCUAUAGACACUUAGCUUUAAAAGCUUUGAUUAUGGCCAGUUGCCUGGUCAACCUAAUACCAGCAGAGGAGUGUAUUUUCCCUACUAUGGUGGAACAGAGGUAAAGGUUUUCCAAGUUUGAAGCAAUCAUACAAACAAAAUAGGAGCCCAAAGACUUCUGCGGAGCUUUGGAAUGAGAGAUGCCCAUUCUGGUUUCAGAAACGCCAGCGCCAUCUCUUGGAGGAGCAUGAAAUUGUUUCCUUGGGCUGAAGAAGCAUCCAUGGGGCCCCAGGUAGGUUCAGCUGGUCCUCUCCUUCUUUCAACUGUAGUUUCAGACUGGAACCCCAGGGCUUCUUCCAAGGGAAACAUUCUUACUUAUUUCCUUAUAAAGGUCCUGCAUACCUUUGUUUGUCUCUCUUCCAAUCAAACCAUUCUUUCUCUCUAAUUUCAUCGGGUCCAGUAUUUCCAAAUUUCAGUCCCAGUUUGUAAAUCUACAACUCAAGCCAAACCUUCAAAGACUGAAUUUUCUAAGUGGUUAGUUAUCCUUCUAACACAGAGGGUCUUCCUUCUAACACCCCAGCAGAGGCCGGGUAGCCUAGCACUCAAGAUCCUGGACUCUGAAGCUAGACCACUGUGUUUAGCAUCCCCUCAGCCUUCCAACUGUGUGACCUUGGAAAGUUACUUGACCUCUCUGUGCCUCAGUUUCCCCACCCACAAAAUGAGGCUGACAGCAGACACCACCUAGAAUGGUUGUUGCAGCAUUACAGGAGUUCACACCUGCAGCACUCGGUGCAGGCCUGUGACAGAUCAUGAGCAAGUGUUUGCCAUCAUCUUGGUUUUCAGUGGCUGUUCCCUUACACACCACUUACGACGCUGGGCUAGGAUUUCACUUGACUUGUCCAGGUUACCCACCAGGCGGUGUUUCUGUAGCAUGGGCAGUAAAGGCAGCAUAAAUCUAGGCCACACUCACAAAUGCACAUUGUUAGCACACAAACCCCGUGAUUCAGAUGCAGGUGGUCUGGGGGCCUGAUUUUUAGAGCUGCUGCACUCAGUUUUGUGCUCCUAGGGGGCAGGGACUAGCUCCAUCCAUCUCAGACCCCAGCCUGCAUGCAGCAAGCACCCGCCCCCUUGAAAGUGCUCAGCUCAAGUUGCUUUCCUUCUCCAUCUUCUUUAAUAAAUGAUCUUGGAGUGAACAAAUGGGAGGCUGACAGUAUUACACUAAAAUAACAGGAGUUUCUGGUCACCUGAGAAGCACAAUGGUCUCUCAUCUUCUCCUUACUCCAUUAGGAGUUCAUAUGCCUGCAUUUUCCUCAUUAAAUCUGAGGUGCUUUUCUGAACUCUAUCUGAGAAGGAGCUGAAGUAAUCAAUGAGUGUCUCACACACAAACACAUGGAAACAGGUUCUUAGUGAGAGCGGUGGGGACUCUGACUCCAAAUUUAAUGAUUUUUCACUAAAAAGGAAUGACGCUUCCCUUCACUAGAAAGCAAUGAUGUCUUCGGUGGUUGCAUCAAUGACCAAACAUGUAUAAUAAACUGCUUCUUUGAACUUGAGGACAUCUGAUUAAGAGAUAGAAAGCAAAACAAGCCUUCACAGAUGGUAAUAGUGCUGGGACACAUCACCUUUUGUGAAUAACUGAAGAGCAUAUAUUAAUAACAGAAAUCACAUUGGUGUGCCCUUACUGAGGAUCGACAAAGGAGAACACGUCUAUGUUUUGUGGAAACACGACUGAAGCCUUCAUCCAAUGACGUUGGCCGGCCCCGCUCUCCUCGUGCCAUCAAGCACUCUACGCUGACUCAGUAGAGCAGCACAGCCCUGUGUGUGGAGAGAUUCCCAUGCACCAUGGGAAGAGGGACCAAGCCUGGGCCCUGGAGGGCGCAGCCGGUGCAGUCUGCAGGAGGCUCUGUGUUUCAAUAACUGUGGUGUCCCCACACCCCAAGGGCCAUCUGUAGAUCUGCUGCUCCAAAGUCUCUCACAGUGGCUCUUCUUUGGAGGUCACUCUCCAGUUAAGUGGGGGACCAACUGCAAACUUCUCCCAUCAAUAUGAACUGCAAUAUGAUAUUGCAGCAAACAAAACACACACACACACACACACUCUCCCAGAAGCAUUUAACAGGAGAAGUGUGUACCUACACAUUUAGUCCCAAGAUCUCUUUCCAGGCCCUGUCCAGGUUCGUGGUGGAAGCCUGUCCUCUGCACACUGGCUUCCCCAAAUCUUCCCAUAUUCCAGAGCAGGGGAAUCCUUUCUCCAUCUUUUGGCUCAGAUCUACUGCGGAGUGUGGGAGAAAUAUUAAAAGUAAUGAUCCUUGAUGGUUAAAGCUGCCUUAUCAAGUUCCUGCCCCUGGGUUUAAAUAAAGUCUCUUUUUCUGCCAGCUUUAGAUAAGGAUGGAGGGUGAGAGAAACAGACAGAGACAGAAAGAGAGAGAGAAGAAGGGAGAGAGGCAGAGAAGCAAGGACUCUAUAGGGAAAGAAAGAGCUUGGACAUUAAUUCAUUUUAUGAAUAUUUGUUCUACUCUUCUUAAGAACAAGGUUUGUCCCAGGUGCCUUGGGGGCAAGAGAGAAUUUAAGGGGUGGCAAGGGGCCACUGUCCCGCAUCUUGGGGACGUUGUAGGCAGGCAGGUAGAGAUGUGCUAAGGUUCCCGGGUCCUGGAGAUGCCAGGCAAGUUGGAAAAUGCAGAAGAGGAGGCUGGGGUGGACAGGGGUCAUUUUGGCUGAAGCUGGUUAUGAGAGGCUUAGAAGGUGAAAGUGUCUGCUGUGCUGGGCCCUGAAAUGUAGGUCUUCUUGGCCACAGUGGGAAAGGGGAGCCCUAGAGGUCCUUGAACAGUCUGAGUGACAACACCUGGGCUGCCCAGCCCCAAAGGCCAAAACCAAGACACGUCUUUGUCCCAGAGGUUGGGCUUGGUGGCUGCAGCUGUGGAUGCUGACCCUUUCAUGGGCAUGGGGACAGGUGAAAAGCAGGAGCGAGGCAGGCAGGAGUGGGUGCCAGCACCAGCCCACAGCCAUGAGGCCUGUGCCAGGCCAGCCUGUGGGGACACUGGGUCCCCGAGAGAGACAUGGAAGCUCCCGCCAGCAGGAGACUUGAAGGUGGUCAGUUCUGAAGUCCUCUCCUCCUUAGGCCUGGACCUGGGGACACAGGCUCCAGCCAGCAGCAGGAGCCCAUGAAACUCAUUUGUCCCAAUCUUCUUCCCAAGUCUCAACAGCUUUCGGGGGGUUCUGUGACAGAUGCCCCACUUCCAGCUCCACAGCCAGCCCUACGCUAACUCUGACAGAUGAAAGGCCUCAGAAUCCCCUUCUUCAAUUGUACUGCACCCAACUUGUGGAAAGCAAAACAAUAUUAAAAAUACUUUUUAAGAAACUCUAGAAUAUAUUGUCAUCAAAGUGAUCACGGUUCUGCUUAUUUUUGGUCAUCGCAACCAAUGUACUGAGCCCCCUUUGCCCAGACCCUAGCAGGUCCUGAGUCUCAGCGUCCACAAAACGAGGCUAUGGCCCUUGGGGAGUUCCGUGCGGUGCCACAAUUGGCCUCUGAGUUACUCUAGAGUGAUAAACGCAGCCUUGGCAGUAAAAUACCAGAGAGGUAAUGAGUGCGGACUCCGUGCUCCCUCCGCAGGGGCAGGUGCGUGAGGCUCUAGCGCCACCUCGUGGGCCGUGGGAUUCGUGCCCAUCUCCUCCUGGGCGGGAGUUCCUCUGGAGCCAGGAACUCUUUGGGCUCAGGGUGUCUUUUUAGAAAAGCUUCUGACGUUGGUUCUUCUUUAGUGGACCUUCUCCGGUAAAACGGGGUUAACAACUCCAAACUUUUCCCCACCUAAAGGGAUUGAAAGGCUGUUUCAAAGGAAUUAGAGCUCUGAGACUGCAACCCACAAAACACACAAUAGCAUAUACACAGAGAUGCACAUAGAAACAUAGACACACAGGGACACACACCAGAGAUACACACACACACACACACGGACAGGCAGACACAGGGCCACAAACACAUACACAGAGAUACACACAGAAACAUAUACACACAGGGACACACACCAGAGAUACAUACACAGACACACACGGACAGGCAGACACAGGGCCACAAACACAUACACAGAGAUGCACAUAGAAACAUUUACACACAGGGACUCACACCAGAGAUACACACACACACGGACAGGCAGACACAUGGUCACACACACACACACAUACAUACAGUGAUAUUCAACAAGGGAAGGGUGCACCCACAGGCUCAGUCUUGAGACCUCUCUCCAGGCUCCUGGGUGGGUUGGGGAAGCUGAGCCUCCCUGCCUGCUCAUAGCACACAGCCUCCACAAAUCUUGCUCUAUUCCAGAGUGAGAAAGGAACGUUAAAACUGAUGAUCCCUGAUGGCCAAGGCUGCCUUAUCAAGAUCCUGUUCCCGAUUCAAUAAGAAAAGAUGCCUCUUGUGCCAGCAGCAGAUAAGGCUGCAGCCCUGGGCGUUCCCAGGAGAGCGAACAAUGGAAGCCCCCAGGAUGCCUCUAUAUGAGGUAGGAUGGUUACUUGCCCAGUCCCUGCCUGCCAGGCCCUUAUCUGGGAGGCGCUGGUUCGGGUUGCACCCUCCUGUGUUCCUAGCGGGGGCUGCUGCACACCAGGCUUCUGAGGCCUUCCUGGUGGGGGUUGGUGGAAUGGCGGCGGGGGGAGGGUUUUGACGGUGCAUCCUGAAGUGCUCCCUGCACCUUUCCCAGAAAAAGAAAAGGAUGCCAUGAAAACACUUCACCCUAGACAUGGUUUACCCUCGGGAAAGCUGAUGUGAAAGAAGUUCCAGGGGGCCAGGGAUAGAAAAGGAUUUAGAAAGAUGAAGGCAACAGACAAACGACACUUACAAAGUGCCCAAAGUCUGCAAGUCCUGAUAGUCACAGGGAAGGACAUCAGCUGGCGGGAAACCUCACCUUUUAGGCCUGCAUGUCAGUCUUGCACUGCUGAGCUGUGUGACCCUAGGCAGGCUACUUAAACCCUCUGUGCCCUGGCAUCUCCAUCUACAGAAUAAAGCUUCUAACAGCAUAGGCCUCACACACCUGUGUGGAGACCCCAUAAGUCGACAACAUGUGUUUACCCGAGGAAAUAAAUAUGGGUGCCCCUUUAGGCCUGUCCCACAGAGUUAUACAGCUGAAAGACCUCAGAGUAGGUCCACACCCCUUACCAAGUAAUGCAGGCCUUGAUUAAUUGCCACUUGAAGGGAGGUGGGGAGAAAGCACCCUGUCACAUCACAGCUAAAUUUACUAAAAAAGAAACUCUUUGCCCACUUAUCUUUCGAAAGUGCCUCACAGCAGAGACAGCCCCAACCCCUUCCUCUCUCUCCAGCCUCACCUCUCCUCCUAAAAUUCAGUUCCUCCUCACACUCUCAGUGCCUGGCCCCGGCCAUGCAUUAGAUGCCCUGAAGAGCUUUUGAAAAGGACCAAUCCCUGGGCCCUAUCUCAGGUGUGUCUGAGCAUCUGUAGAUUUUAGAAGCUCUGAGGAGGAUUUACAUGCAUUUAGGGUGGAAAUCACUUGUAAGUAAAUUUUUUUAACUGUUCCCUGUUAAAAAAUAUGAACCAAUGGACCAAUGGACCACUUAUGGCUUCUGCUAAUUCUCUUACAUAUGCCCAUGGUACCUUGUUGCAGUAUCAUUUGUAUAAUAAAAAGAUUGGAGCCAACCAGAAAGUCCAUCAAUGGGGGG